AAUCUGUCUUAAUCACGUCACCUCACUGCUUAUGACUCUCAUACAACCCAACCCCCCCAUCAGAAGUAGGGCAGUGGCCAGUUUCUGGACUUCUGGAGUUAACAGUUGAGUCCCUCGGAUGACCUUGCUCAGUGCAGCCAGGGACUGGUGGAUACUCUGUGAUGACACUUACAGUUUACAUACAG